rnacentral:rRNA from 1 species
GAUGAACGCUGGCGGCGUGCCUAAUACAUGCAAGUCGAGCGAACGGACGAGAAGCUUGCUUUUCUGAUGUUAGCGGCGGACGGGUGAGUAACACGUGGAUAACCUACCUAUAAGACUGGGAUAACUUCGGGAAACCGGAGCUAAUACCGGAUAAUAUUUUGAACCGCAUGGUUCAAAAGUGAAAGACGGUCUUGCUGUCACUUAUAGAUGGAUCCGCGCUGCAUUAGCUAGUUGGUAAGGUAACGGCUUACCAAGGCAACGAUGCAUAGCCGACCUGAGAGGGUGAUCGGCCACACUGGAACUGAGACACGGUCCAGACUCCUACGGGAGGCAGCAGUAGGGAAUCUUCCGCAAUGGGCGAAAGCCUGACGGAGCAACGCCGCGUGAGUGAUGAAGGUCUUCGGAUCGUAAAACUCUGUUAUUAGGGAAGAAUAUAUGUGUAAGUAACUGUGCACAUCUUGACGGUACCUAAUCAGAAAGCCACGGCUAGCUACGUG